AAAAAAAUCAAAAAGAAAAAUAUUGUCAUGAAAAUUGGAGAUCGAUUUUUCCUUUUUGUUUCGUGGGCUUUGAUGCCCCUUGGGGUUCUUCUUCUUUGGCUUUCUUUUCAGUCUCAAUUUCCCUCUGCUUCCUCUGAUGAAAAGUUCGAUGAUCCAUUUUCAACUGGAAGAGAGGCCUUGGGUGGUCUUGGAAAAGUUUCUGGCUAUAUAGUAAUGGCACUUGGAUCAAUAAUUUUAUUUG
rnacentral:ribozyme from 13 species